AAUGAGCAAGGGGACCUGGCUCGGUUGUGCUCCUUGCCUGGCCUUGCCGUCCAACAUGUGCGAGAGAGAGAGUGCUUGUCUAGAGGGCAAGACCUCCCACUGUUCUCAAGCUCUUAGUAAGAGAGAGAGGGAGAGAGAGAUAUAGUGGCUCUGCUGUUUCGCAGAUCCCUGAUUCCUCUUGAUCGUCGCUUUCCUCUUUCAGUCCUGCCCAUCCUGAGCUUGUCAUAUCUUCUUUGAAGUCCCUUCGAGCCCCUUUUCUGUUUCCGUCCGCCUCUCCGCUCUCCUUGCUUCAUCGUAUUUCCUAUUUCUCUGUCUGUUUUCUUCUACGUUCCCUACUGAAGGAAGUUGCUGUGGCUCUCUCGCCACUCCCAAUUCGGUGAUUGAAUCGGAUGCUUAUCUCUUUUUCCGCUCCUCCAUCUAGCAUCUAAUUUGUGGGCGUAGUUUUAGGUCAUACUGCGUUUCAUUGAUCUGGCUUCCCCGCCCUGGUCGUCAGAAGCAGCAUUUAUUGGAAUGCUAUUCAUGGCCUUUGGAUGCCAGCGUUGUAGCAAUACUUUGGCUUAAACGAGAUUGGUGAAGUUGUCGUCACGAUUUUUUUAUUGCCUGGUUCAGUUCUGAUGAUUCUGGCUCUAACCAGGUUGAGGUGCCUUCAGAACUUUCAGCCUUUGGCAACGGAAUCAAUCGUAAGUCUGCUCAUGUAGGCCUUUGAGCAAUUAGAGAAACAGAUUGAGCAAUUAUGCUGGAGAAGAGACGUGGUCUUUGAUUGCGGAUUCUUGCAGGUUUUAGCACUUCUGGUCACAACAAGGUGAAGGAAGUUCGACUGGGGAGCAGCUGUUGAAGUUUUUCAUAUUCAAUCUUUCUUGUAUCAUUGGAUCGUAUAAUUAUGAGUGGUGGAGACUGGGCGGUGGAGGGAAUUUGAAGUGACUGGUAUAUAUAUAUAUAUAUAUAUUCAAGUCGAUCCGCUAUGGCGCUUACAUCAGCCGAGGACCUUUCAAGGGUCUAUACUCUUCUACGUGAUGCCCUGAGACAGGAUGAGGCUACGCGCAAGCCAGCAGAAGCAACAUUGGCUGCUUGUGAGGGUCGGCCUGGUUUUUGUUCAUGUCUUCUGGAGAUUAUUGGUGCUAAGGAUCUGGAACACCAAAGUGAUGCUCGAUGGCUGGCGUCAGUUUAUUUCAAAAACAGUAUCAACCGAUAUUGGAGGACUCGUCGUGAUUCUCCGGGCAUAAGUGAUGCAGAAAAACCUCAUUUACGGAGCAGGCUGCUUGAUUUGCUUAGAGAGGAGAAUAACCAGGUUGCUGUCCAAUUAGCACUUCUUAUUUCAAAAAUUGCUCGAUUUGAUUACCCACGAGAAUGGCCAGAGCUAUUCCCAACUUUACUGCAGAAAUUGCAAAUUCCCGAUGUACUUGCAACUCAACGCAUAUAUUUGGUGCUUAAUCAAACUCUGAAGGAGCUUUCUACUAAACGUUUAGCAGCUGAUCAACGUAAUUUUGCGGAGGUGACAGCCCAAUAUUUUGAGUACACAUGGCACCACUGGUGUACGGACACUCAAGUUAUUCUUCAAGGUCUUCAGUCACUUGUCUCAGAUCCUCAGAGUUUAAUUAUUGUUUCAGACCAAGAUCAGGUAUUCCAGCUGACAUGCGAACGCUGGAUGUUAUGCCUGAAAGUACUUCGUCGAAUGUUAAUACAUGGCUUUCAAAACGAUGCAAAGUCUGUUCAGGAAGUAGGUCCAGUGAAAGAUGUUUGUCCUCCAUUUUUACAAGCAGUUCAGGAACUGCUGAAGUACCGUACUGCGUUGAAACAUGGGCAGGUUUUGCAUGCUUUUGUGGAUAAGGCAUGCUUGAAAUUAAUGAAGAUAUUUGUAGAAGUUCAAUCUACUCAUCCUUACUCAUUCAGCAACAGGGUCGUGCUUCCGUCAGUGUUGGAGUUCUGCUACAUACAGAUAACAGAAGUGAAGGAGGAUAAUGUACCUUUUGAGCCUUUCUUGAUCAAGUGUAUGAUCUUUGUUCAGAGUGUUAUCCAAUGCGGUGCUUACAGACCCAACAAGACUGGUAGGGUAGUUGGGCAGAGCACUACUACCAUGGAAGAAACUAAAGCAAAUUUGGCAAGACAGGCCGAAGAAAUAGUAAUGUCUCUAUUGAACAAGCAACGCUUGGUGGUACUAUGUGAAAUUUUGGUUCGAAGAUACUUUGUACUCACACCUGCGGACCUGGAGGAAUGGGCACAAGAUCCUGAAUUAUUCCACCAUGAGCAAGAUCUUGUUCAAUACAAGGAGAAGAUACGGCCUUGCGCUGAAUCUCUAUAUCUAUCUCUAUUUGAAUGUCAUCGAGAGCUUUUAGCUCCGGUGGUGGUCGGGAUACUCAAACAGGCCUCAGAAGCAUGUCCGGCUGUUGCUGGAGCAGAUGUACAAAUUACACCUGCCUUGCUACUGAAAGAAACUGCAUACAAUGCAGUUGGGGCAGCGUACUAUGAUCUUCAUGAUUAUAUUGAUUUCAAAUCUUGGUGGGAAGGUGCUCUUGUUCAUGAAAUGAGUAAUCUCCAUCCAAAUGGUCGAAUCCUCUCGCGAAGAAUUGCUUGGCUCUUGGGAAAGUGGGUGAACAAGAUCAAAGGCGAGCUAAGAAAGCCUGUUUACAGUGCUUUGAUAAUACUACUGGGUCAUGGUGAUCUAGCAGUACAGUUGGCAGCGUGCCACUCAUUGCAAAACUUAAUAGACGACGUUCAUUUCUAUGAAGAAGAGUUCUUGGAAUAUGUGCCCACGUGUUUGGGGCUUUUGAUCCAGUUCAUGCAAAACGCACAAGAGUUUGACUCCAAGCUCCAGAUUUUCAACCUUGUGUCUCUUAUAAUUGAUCGCCUUGGUGGGAAGAUUGUACCAUGUGUUGAUAAGAUUCUAGCAUUUCUGCCUCAGGUUUGGCAAGAUUCAGAGGGACAGAGCUUGCUGCAAAUUCAAGUGAUGCUUGCACUUUCGCGUCUGUUGGUUGCACUUGGACCACGCUCUUCAAUCUGCUACGACAUCCUUUUUCCAAUUUUGCAGUGUAGUACAGAUGUGAAUCAACCUGAUGAACUUAACAUGUUGGAGGAUGGUAUGCAGUUGUGGGAAACGACAUUGAGAAAUGCCGCCGUCAUGGUUCCUCCACUUAUGAAUCUAUUUCCUCAUCUUGUUGCUGUUAUGGAGCGCAAUUUUGAUCAUCUUCAGGCUGCCAUGAAUAUCAUUCAGAGUUAUAUUCUCCUUGGAGGAGCUAACUUUGUAAGGUCGAAUGCUAGUGGUGUGGUGAAAAUCUUUGAUGUUGUUGUUGGAAAUGUGAAAGAGAAGGGAAUGUUGUAUACCCUCCCUGUUAUCGACUCUCUUAUUCAGUGCUUUCCUGUGGACGCACCGCCUCUUUUGGAGGGAAUCCUGCAGAAACUCUUCGUGAUGGUAGCAAGUGGGCGUGAUGACGCUGAUCUUGUGAAGGCAUCCGCAGGAGCUGUGUUAGCAAGAGUUUUUGUCCAAAACAAUGCGUUCUUUGCACAAUUUACAUCGCAACCAUCUCUUUUCCUUGCUCUACAGCAAUCAGGGAUGGUUGUGUCGGACCAGAUUCCACUUUUUCUCUUCUUUGAUGCCUGGCUUGACAAGGUGGAUUCCUUGACGAGCAUGCUAAAACGGAAGUUGUGUGCUCUUGCUCUUUGCAUACUGCUUACAGUUAGCCAGCCACAAGUCCUGGACAGACUUGAACAGAUUCUCAGUGUUUGCACCAGCGUCCUUCAUGAGACUGCGGAAGAAAAUAACGCCAGUGCAUCAAGUUAUGACUAUAGCAGUGUAGAAGACGGAUCGAUGGGAUCCGUGGAAAGUGAAGAAUCCAGGAAAAGACAGGUCAUCAGUGCAGAUCCAAUCGUUAAAGUUCCACUUGCUCCUUUUCUGAAAGAGAAGCUACAAACUUGUGCCCAAGUUCACGGUAACGCUGCUUUCAAUAUGACAAUGGCUAAGCUCCAUCCAACCCUUCUUGAUCAGCUCCAAAAGCUUAUGCAAUCAUGACGGCCCCAAAAAUAGUCAGUAGAGUUAUACGUGCCAUGCUGUGCCUUGCUUAGCUGGUGUAUUCAUCCUCAUUCAGGAGAGGAAAGACAAGGGAUCUCCCUCAUUUAUAUAGAAAAUUACUACGGUGCAUUUUUCAACUUGUUUGAGAGGAGACUUCUGCUAUCAAGACCUAAAUUUUUAAAAAUCUGCAGGAUUCACCUUGACCAGUGCAUGUGCUUCUUGAGUAUUGGGUAGCAUUACUUCAAAUUUUGUGUUUGAUUCUCAAGGAUCGUUUGUAGCCUUUCAGCUCCGUUUUCACUGUGGCUGAGAAUAUAAUAGGGUUGACUGUAGUGAGCGUCAACCCAUCUUGGUGAGGAGCCAAUUGGGGUGUCCCUCAAGUUCUCGUCUUGAAAGUCAUUUAAGAGUUUACUUGCCGAGUUUUGUCCCGUUUAUUCUGAGUGCAACACAAUUGUGAUUGGCUUGUAGGAUUAGGUUCAUUUGAUGGGUAGAGUCUAUAUGGCUGUCCAUCAGAUUAUAUUAGUGAGUUAAAAUUUUGCUCGCAGCCCUUUAUUAAUGAAAAUCAUUCAUCGUGACCCAUAAUCAUUUUCUCA